GAAAUUCGUCGGCGAUUUUGGGGUUUCUCGGAGAGAAAAUUCGUUGGCGAUUUUGAGUGAAAUCGGAGAGGAAAUUCGUCGGCGAUUUUGAGUGAAAUCGGAGAGAAAAAUU
rnacentral:pre_miRNA from 1 species